rnacentral:lncRNA from 1 species
UAAGGAAAACCUCACUUCCUCUGAGAAGAUCUAUACACAUAGUUACUUGGGAUUUGGAUUGAAAGCUGCAGGACUAGCAACCCUGGGAGCCCCGCAAACAGAAAGGAUUGAUGGAUACAUAUUCCAAAGUGCCUGUCUACCAAGAUGUUGGAAGCAGAAUGGAUCUUUGUGGGUGUGAAAUGCCAGUUUGGUGGCAACUGAGAAGGAGAGAUGUAGCCCUGCUACAAUGAAGUGCUGGGGGUGGUGUAAGGAAAGCUUCAUCAGCCAGAGGAGAU